CACAAAGGCUCCAGCCUCUUGUUCUUUUCCUGUCAGAACGUGAAGGGAAUAUACCUUGUCAUUUAUUUGCCUCAUAUGUGUCUUCUGAGGAUGGUCAGAUGAUGUUUGGUGACUUAUUUUGCCGCCAUCCAGUGAGUAGCUGGUGGAGGAGAGGGAGGAUGGGAGACAGAAUGUUCUAUUUCCUCCACUGGAACAGCAACUCUGGCAGAGCAGGGGAGAAAUGCCCCUGACUAGAAGUUCAUUGGCAAAGUACACAUCUGACCUUGAGCUCCUGAAUUAGCAGCUUUACCUUUUCAUCAAGGAAGAAAGAACAAA
rnacentral:lncRNA from 1 species